UCCAAAUGUUGACAAGGUGAGAUCUUCCUGUCUUUGCCUUUCAAAAUAAAAGCACAGCACAAUUUCAAAAUAAAAGCCUGCAACAGACCAAAAAAUGCCAGUUAAACCUCUCAGCUUCACACAGCCUUUGGAGUAACUCCAAUCCAAAUUUUGACCAGGUGAGAUCUUCAGGUCUCUGCCUUUCAAAAUUACUUUACAGCACAAUUUGCCAGUUAAACCUCUCAGCUUCACACAGCCUUUUGAGUAACUCCAAUCCAAAUUUUGACCAGGUGAGAUCUUCUUGUCUCUGCCUUUCAAAAUAAAAGCACAGCACAAUUUCAAAAUAAAAGCCUGCAACAGAC